AGGGCGCACGGUGGAUGCCUUGGCACUAGAAGCCGAUGAAGGACGUUACUAACGACGAUAUGCUUUGGGGAGCUGUAAGUAAGCUUUGAUCCAGAGAUUUCCGAAUGGGGAAACCCAGCAUGAGUUAUGUCAUGUUAUCGAUAUGUGAAUACAUAGCAUAUCAGAAGGCACACCCGGAGAACUGAAACAUCUUAGUACCCGGAGGAAGAGAAAGAAAAUUCGAUUCCCUUAGUAGCGGCGAGCGAAACGGGAAGAGCCCAAACCAAAAAGCUUGCUUGUUGGGGUUGUAGGACACUCUAUACGGAGUUACAAAGGACGACAUUAGACGAAUCAUCUGGAAAGAUGAAUCAAAGAAGGUAAUAAUCCUGUAGUCGAAAAUGUUGUCUCUCUUGAGUGGAUCCUGAGUACGACGGAGCACGUGAAAUUCCGUCGGAAUCUGGGAGGACCAUCUCCUAAGGCUAAAUACUCUCUAGUGACCGAUAGUGAACCAGUACCGUGAGGGAAAGGUGAAAAGCACCCCGGAAGGGGAGUGAAAUAGAACCUGAAACCGUGUGCUUACAAGUAGUCAGAGCCCGUUAAUGGGUGAUGGCGUGCCUUUUGUAGAAUGAACCGGCGAGUUACGAUUUGAUGCAAGGUUAAGCAGUAAAUGUGGAGCCGUAGCGAAAGCGAGUCUGAAUAGGGCGUUUAGUAUUUGGUCGUAGACCCGAAACCAGGUGAUCUACCCUUGGUCAGGUUGAAGUUCAGGUAACACUGAAUGGAGGACCGAACCGACUUACGUUGAAAAGUGAGCGGAUGAACUGAGGGUAGCGGAGAAAUUCCAAUCGAACCUGGAGAUAGCUGGUUCUCUCCGAAAUAGCUUUAGGGCUAGCCUCAAGUGAUGAUUAUUGGAGGUAGAGCACUGUUUGGACGAGGGGCCCCUCUCGGGUUACCGAAUUCAGACAAACUCCGAAUGCCAAUUAAUUUAACUUGGGAGUCAGAACAUGGGUGAUAAGGUCCGUGUUCGAAAGGGAAACAGCCCAGACCACCAGCUAAGGUCCCAAAAUAUAUGUUAAGUGGAAAAGGAUGUGGCGUUGCCCAGACAACUAGGAUGUUGGCUUAGAAGCAGCCAUCAUUUAAAGAGUGCGUAAUAGCUCACUAGUCGAGUGACACUGCGCCGAAAAUGUACCGGGGCUAAACAUAUUACCGAAGCUGUGGAUUGUCCUUUGGACAAUGGUAGGAGAGCGUUCUAAGGGCGUUGAAGCAUGAUCGUAAGGACAUGUGGAGCGCUUAGAAGUGAGAAUGCCGGUGUGAGUAGCGAAAGACGGGUGAGAAUCCCGUCCACCGAUUGACUAAGGUUUCCAGAGGAAGGCUCGUCCGCUCUGGGUUAGUCGGGUCCUAAGCUGAGGCCGACAGGCGUAGGCGAUGGAUAACAGGUUGAUAUUCCUGUACCACCUAUAAUCGUUUUAAUCGAUGGGGGGACGCAGUAGGAUAGGCGAAGCGUGCGAUUGGAUUGCACGUCUAAGCAGUAAGGCUGAGUAUUAGGCAAAUCCGGUACUCGUUAAGGCUGAGCUGUGAUGGGGAGAAGACAUUGUGUCUUCGAGUCGUUGAUUUCACACUGCCGAGAAAAGCCUCUAGAUAGAAAAUAGGUGCCCGUACCGCAAACCGACACAGGUAGUCAAGAUGAGAAUUCUAAGGUGAGCGAGCGAACUCUCGUUAAGGAACUCGGCAAAAUGACCCCGUAACUUCGGGAGAAGGGGUGCUCUUUAGGGUUAACGCCCAGAAGAGCCGCAGUGAAUAGGCCCAAGCGACUGUUUAUCAAAAACACAGGUCUCUGCUAAACCGUAAGGUGAUGUAUAGGGGCUGACGCCUGCCCGGUGCUGGAAGGUUAAGAGGAGUGGUUAGCUUCUGCGAAGCUACGAAUCGAAGCCCCAGUAAACGGCGGCCGUAACUAUAACGGUCCUAAGGUAGCGAAAUUCCUUGUCGGGUAAGUUCCGACCCGCACGAAAGGCGUAACGAUUUGGGCACUGUCUCAACGAGAGACUCGGUGAAAUCAUAGUACCUGUGAAGAUGCAGGUUACCCGCGACAGGACGGAAAGACCCCGUGGAGCUUUACUGUAGCCUGAUAUUGAAAUUCGGCACAGCUUGUACAGGAUAGGUAGGAGCCUUUGAAACGUGAGCGCUAGCUUACGUGGAGGCGCUGGUGGGAUACUACCCUAGCUGUGUUGGCUUUCUAACCCGCACCACUUAUCGUGGUGGGAGACAGUGUCAGGCGGGCAGUUUGACUGGGGCGGUCGCCUCCUAAAAGGUAACGGAGGCGCUCAAAGGUUCCCUCAGAAUGGUUGGAAAUCAUUCAUAGAGUGUAAAGGCAUAAGGGAGCUUGACUGCGAGACCUACAAGUCGAGCAGGGUCGAAAGACGGACUUAGUGAUCCGGUGGUUCCGCAUGGAAGGGCCAUCGCUCAACGGAUAAAAGCUACCCCGGGGAUAACAGGCUUAUCUCCCCCAAGAGUUCACAUCGACGGGGAGGUUUGGCACCUCGAUGUCGGCUCAUCGCAUCCUGGGGCUGUAGUCGGUCCCAAGGGUUGGGCUGUUCGCCCAUUAAAGCGGUACGCGAGCUGGGUUCAGAACGUCGUGAGACAGUUCGGUCCCUAUCCGUCGUGGGCGUAGGAAAUUUGAGAGGAGCUGUCCUUAGUACGAGAGGACCGGGAUGGACAUACCUCUGGUGUACCAGUUGUCGUGCCAACGGCAUAGCUGGGUAGCUAUGUGUGGACGGGAUAAGUGCUGAAAGCAUCUAAGCAUGAAGCCCCCCUCAAGAUGAGAUUUCCCAACUUCGGUUAU
rnacentral:rRNA from 1 species